rnacentral:rRNA from 1 species
AACGCGAAGAACCUUACCAACCCUUGACAUGGGCAUCGCGGGACCAGAGAUGGUUCUUUCAGUUCGGCUGGAUGCCACACAGGUGCUGCAUGGCUGUCGUCAGCUCGUGUCGUGAGAUGUUCGGUUAAGUCCGGCAACGAGCGCAACCCACAUCCUUAGUUGCCAUCAUUCAGUUGGGCACUCUAGGGGAACUGCCGGUGAUAAGCCGGAGGAAGGUGUGGAUGACGUCAAGUCCUCAUGGCCCUUACGGGUUGGGCUACACACGUGCUACAAUGGUGGUGACAAUGGGUUAAUCCCCAAAAGCCAUCUCAGUUCGGAUUGGGGUCUGCAACUCGACCCCAUGAAGUCGGAAUCGCUAGUAAUCGCGUAACAGCAUGACGCGGUGAAUACGUUCCCGGGUCUUGUACACACCG